UACCAGCACCCCGAGUGGUCGGGACGAUUAUUGGGCCUAAAGCAUCCGUAGCCGGUUUUACAAGUCCUCCGUUAAAUCCAGCUGCUUAACAGAUGGGCUGCGGAGGAUACUAUAAGACUAGGAGGCAGGAGAGGCAAGCGGUACUCAGUGGGUAGGGGUAAAGUCCGUUGAUCCAUUGAAGACCACCAGUGGCGAAGGCGGCUUGCCAGAAUGCGCUCGACGGUGAGGGAUGAAAGCUGGGGGGAGCAAACCGG
rnacentral:rRNA from 1 species